rnacentral:rRNA from 1 species
UUUUACGGUUUGAUUAUGGCUCAGAUUGAGCGCUGGCGGCAUGCCUAACACAUGCAAGUCGAACGGAAACGACGAAAACAAUCCCUUCGGGGUGCGUCUUCGGGCGUCGAGUGGCGGACGGGUGCGUAACGCGUAGGAAUCUACCUUAUAGUGGGGGACAACUCGAGGAAACUCGAGCUAAUACCGCAUAAUCCUUACGAGGGAAAGCAGGGGAUCUUCGGACCUUGUGCUAUUAGAUGAGCCUGCGUCGGAUUAGCUUGUUGGUAGGGUAAAGGCCUACCAAGGCAACGAUCAAUAGCUGGUCUGAGAGGAUGAUCAGCCACACUGGUACUUAGACACGGACCAGACUCCUACGGGAGGCAGCAGUGGGGAAUAUUGCGCAAUGGGCGAAAGCCUGACGCAAGCCUGCCCUCGUGUGUGAAGAAGGCCCUUAGGUGUUGUAAAGUUCUGUCAAGUGGGAAAAAGGUCUUUCGAUUAAUACCCGGAAGAUUUGAUGGUACCAUUAGAGGAAGCACCGGCUAACUCCGUGCCAGCAGCCGCGGUAAUACGGCGGGUGCAAGCGUAGUUCGGAAUUACUGGGCGUAAAGAGCGUGUAGGCGGGUUGGUAAGUCAGAUGUGAAAGCCCGGGGCUCAACCCCGGAAGUGCAUUUGAAACUGCCUUGCUUGAGUAUGGGAGAGGAGAGUGGAAUUCCCAGUGUAGAGGUGAAAUUCGUAGAUAUUGGGAGGAACACCCGUGGCGAAGGCGACUCUCUGGACCAAUACUGACGCUGAGACGCGAAAGCGUGGGGAGCAAACAGGAUUAGAUACCCUGGUAGUCCACGCCGUAAACGAUGAGAACUAGGUGUAGCGGGUAUUGACCCCUGCUGUGCCGAAGUUAACGCAUUAAGUUCUCCGCCUGGGGAGUACGGCCGCAAGGCUAAAACUCAAAGGAAUUGACGGGGGCCCGCACAAGCGGUGGAGCAUGUGGUUUAAUUCGACGCAACGCGAAGAACCUUACCUGGAUUUGACAUCCUCUGACAGUCUCGGAAACGAGAUCUUUCCGACUUGUCGGAACAGAGUGACAGGUGCUGCAUGGCUGUCGUCAGCUCGUGUCGUGAGAUGUUGGGUUAAGUCCCGCAACGAGCGUAACCCUUGUCUUUAGUUGCCAUUAUUAAGUUAGGCACUCUAAAGAGACUGCCUCGGUUAACGGGGAGGAAGGUGGGGAUGACGUCAAGUCCUCAUGGCCUUUAUAUCCAGGGCUACACACGUGCUACAAUGGGCUGUACAAAGGGUUGCUAUCCCGUGAGGGGGCGCUAAUCCCAAAAAGCAGUUCUCAGUUCGGAUUGAAGUCUGCAACUCGACUUCAUGAAGGUGGAAUCGCUAGUAAUCGUGGAUCAGCACGCCACGGUGAAUACGUUCCCGGGCCUUGCACACACCGCCCGUC